UACGAAGGGGGGCUAGCGUUGUUCGGAAUUACUGGGCGUAAAGCGCGUGUAGGCGGGUCUUUAAGUCAGGGGUGAAAUGCCAAGGCUCAACCUUGGAACUGCCUUUGAUACUGGAGACCUUGAGUCCGGGAGAGGUGAGUGGAAUUGCGAGUGUAGAGGUGAAAUUCGUAGAUAUUCGCAAGAACACCAGUGGCGAAGGCGGCUCACUGGCCCGAUACUGACGCUGAUGCACGAAAGCGUGGGGAGCAAACAGG
rnacentral:rRNA from 1 species